rnacentral:rRNA from 1 species
AACGAACGCUGGCGGCGUGCUUAACACAUAGCAAGUCGAACGCGAAAGGGACUUCGGUCCUGAGUAAAGUGGCGCACGGGUGAGUAACGCGUAGAUAACCUGUCUUCAUGUCUGGAAUAAUACGCCGAAAGGGGUACUAAUACCGGAUAUUCUUGCUUUUCAUAAGUUAUGCAAGCAAAGGUGGCCUCUGCAUAUGCUACUGCAUGAAGAGGGGUCUGCGUACCAUUAGCUAGUAGGUGGGGUAAUGGCCUACCUAGGCGACGAUGGUUAGCGGGUCUGAGAGGAUGAUCCGCCACACUGGCACUGGAACACGGGCCAGACUCCUACGGGAGGCAGCAGUGAGGAAUAUUGCGCAAUGGGGGAAACCCUGACGCAGCGACGCCGCGUGAGUGAAGGGAAGGCCUUCGGGUCGUAAAGCUCUGUCAAGAGGAAAGAAGUGUACAAUGGCUAAUACCUGUUGUAUUUGACGGUACCUCUAAAGGAAGCACCGGCUAACUCCGUGCCAGCAGCCGC